ACAAGUUAAAGAAAGAGUUUGAAGCCAUUGAGGAAAAAAAAAUUUUUCUUUAACUUGUCUUUGCCAUUCUCUGAUGAACUAAUGUUUGUGACCAAAACUGAGCAUUCAAAGCUGCUUUGAUUGCAGACCUUAAUUGCCUUUUCUUGCAGGAAAAGGUAGAGCGUUUAUUAUAUGUAAUUAUACAUCUAAACUUUUUUGUUCAUAUCUGUAUUUGUUUUUAUAUCAGCAAAACUCAUGCAAAUAGAGAGUAGAAGUUACAUUCAUAUCAUUUUAAUGUCAAAUUUUGCAUCAUUCAACUAAAGAUUUAAUUAUUGAUAUGUAUAUAAAUAUUUCAUUUCAUAUCGAAUUUUUGGAUAUUUUAAAAUUUAAGUAAUUCGAGCUUAUUUUAUGACAUUGAAUGGUAAUUUUUAUAUGAUUUUUUAUCUCGUUUAAAAUAAUGUAACAGGAUUUUAAAUAUUGGUCCAAGCUACUGUGUUUCUAAAGGACAAUUCCACCAAACUCCCCAUCUUUUAAUAAUUGUGGAGUCGUCUGCCAUGGUGGACAAAGAAAUUCAACCCGACCCGUUUACUUCAUUUCCGUUUACUUUCCACAGAAACCGUGUUCCUCACCGUGUGUGGGAGAUGGGUUUUCCUUUCUUUGAAACAGCUAUAUAUAUCCAAUGCAAGGCAAGAGGAAAUGCAACCCAAGGUGAAGAUAUGUGAUCGAACAAUUCAUCAGGGGUUGCAUCAGGGUCCUGGUUUUCAGACCUGAUCGAGAGAGAAGAAGGGAAGAGGCAUCAAGGAAGCAAAGACUUUCAAGCAAGAAGCUGUUCAUGAAGGCCUGGUGGAAGAAGAGAAAUGAAGAGGAAAAAGAGGGGGUAUAGUGGAGCAAAGAAGCAUCAGAGAGGGCAAAAACAAGUUAUAGGCAAAAGUUGAAGCCAUUGAAUGUAAAUCUGAACAAUUCCAGCACCUAUUUAGAAUGCAAACAUGUUAGAUAUUUGGUGGUGUUGUCUCAGAUUCAUAAUCAAAGGCUUCAAUUUUUACUUUAACUUGUCUUUGCCCUUCUCUGAUGUUUCUUUUCUUUGCUUAUCAAAGUACUUUCGUCUUCUUCUUUUUGGGUCCAGAAUCAUGCAGUUUCACAUGUGUUGGAAACCAGAUACCAGAUAUCUUUCACUUUUCAUGAUUUACUUGAGGAAGAACAGCUUGGAGUCAGGAAGGUGACCAUUGUUGGAAGGGAAGUCUGAGCUCAAACCAGAAAAGGAUGAAGAACCCACUUCCACCAUUGAAGCAAAUCAUAUCACAUCCUGAUCAUAUCUUGUUUGUAUUUGUAAUCUUAUCUUUUUUCCAAACUUGUAACCUUAUACUCAAUCAAUAAAUAUGGCUAGCAUAACCCUUCAAUCCAAA